AAACACAAAUUUCGGGUAGAUAUUGUUUUUCUCUUCUGCUUUGUUUACUAGUUCUGGGGCAGGGUAGAUCACAGCAUCACUGCCCGGAUUGUAAAAUGAUGCAAUCGACAUGCGGGUCCCAUCUGUUUGAGCAAUCACUCUAUGCAUCACACUCUUGUACCUUCCAUUUGUAAUCACCUGAAAAAGAAAGAUAAUGUUUUUAGUACACCCUUUAUUGUUUCAAGAAACGGGUAUGAUUCUUUAAACAUGAAGUACAACAUUUUAUUGCAAUACUCUAUACUUGGGCUAAAUGCAAGAAGUUGCAAUAUAUUUGUGUAUUAUAAAAUCAUAUUUUCAUUUCUUUUGAUUACAACAAUGUACAUACUUUAAAAAUGUACCCAAACUAUAGCAUUGUAGCAUAACAUCCUAUUUUAAUUUUUUUUGUUAUAUUAUUGUACUUUUGGUUUUUUAUUAAGGCCCUUGUACUUUGAAAAAUCUACUAAAUUAUUGCAUUGCACUUUCAAUUUAUUUCUCAUUAAGACAUUAUAUUUUGAAAGUUCUAUCAAGCUAUACCUUUCUAUUUGGAUGACAUUGCUACAUUUAGAUCAAUUUUUCAAAAAACAAUGUUGUGAUAGGAACAAAUAGAAGUAGAUUGUUAUAAAAAAAAAACAAAUCAAUGAUAGUAUGUUGCUAUUUUUUGCAUAUGUUUAAAUGGAGUUUGGUUUAAAUUGUUGUAAUAUAUACCUCAAGUUGAUCACCCAAGUUGAUGACAAUCGAAUGAUGCAUAGGUGGCACAUCAAUCCAUUCUCCAUCUUUAAGUAACUGGAGCCCACUGACCUUAUCGUCCUGAAAGAGCAAUAUAACACCGCCAGCAUCGGUGUGGGCCCGCAGACCCUUGAUAAGAUCGGGCUUGGGGCAAGGAGGAUAGUUGCUCACCUUGG
rnacentral:lncRNA from 1 species